GAUGAAGAACGUAGCGAAAUGCGAUAAGUAAUGCGAAUUGCAGAAUUCAGUGAGUCAUCGAAUCUUUGAACGCACAUUGCGCCCUGUGGUAUUCCGCAGGGCAUGCCUGUUCGAGCGUCAUUUCAACCCUCAAGCUCUGCUUGGUGUUGGGCCCUGCCCGCUGCGGCCGGCCCUAAAGACAGUGGCGGUGCCGCCUGGCCCUGAGCAUAGUACAUCUCUCGCUCCAGUGCCCGGUGGUAGCCUGCCAGAACCCCAACUCUCGUGGUUGACCUCGGAUCAGGUAGGGAUACCCGCUGAACUUAAGCAUAUCAAUAAGCGGAGGA
rnacentral:misc_RNA from 1 species